AUAUCAAUAAGCGGAGGAAAAGAAACCAACAGGGAUUGCCUUAGUAACGGCGAGUGAAGCGGCAAUAGCUCAAAUUUGAAAUCUGGCCUUUGGCCCGAAUUGUAAUUUGUAGAAGGUGCUUCGGGCAUGGUUAUGGUUCAAGUCCCUUGGAACAGGGCGUCAUAGAGGGUGAGAAUCCCGUAUGCGACCAAUAGCCAAACCUGGGUGAAGUCCUUUCGACGAGUCGAGUUGUUUGGGAAUGCAGCUCUAAAUGGGUGGUAAAUUUCAUCUAAAGCUAAAUAUCUGCCAGGGACCGAUAGUGCACAAGUAGAGUGAUCGAAAGAUGAAAAGCACUUUGGAAAGAGAGUUAAACAGUACGUGAAAUUGUUGAAAGGGAAGCGCUUGCAACCAGACUCGUUCGCGGGUGUUCAGCCACCCUCUGGGGUGGUGCACUCUCCCGCCGCGGGCCAGCAUCGGUUUCGGCGACUGGAUAAAGGCUUUGGGAAUGUAGCUCUCUUCGGGGAGUGUUAUAGCCCGGGGUGUAAUGCAGCCAGUCGGGACCGAGGAAUGCGCAUUGCUAGGAUGCUGGCGUAAUGGUUGCCAGCGACCCGUCUUGAAACACGGACCAAGGAGUCGACCAAUUGUGCGAGUGUUUGGGUAUCAAACCCGCACGCGUAAUGAAAGUAAACGUAGGUGGGAACCUUCUGGUGCACCAUCGACCGAUCUUGAUGUUUUCGGAUGGAUUUGAGUAUGAGCCCAAUUGGUCGGACCCGAAAGGUAAGAUCUUGUAUUCAUUCUCAAAGUAGCGAUUAACUAACAGCUUUACAGAUGGUGAACUAUGCGUGAAUAGGGUGAAGCCAGAGGAAACUCUGGUGGAGGCUCGCAGCGGUUCUGACGUGCAAAUCGAUCGUCAAAUUUGCGCAUAGGGGCGAAAGACUAAUCGAACCGUCUAGUAGCUGGUUCCCGUCGAAGUUUCCCU
rnacentral:rRNA from 1 species